rnacentral:rRNA from 1 species
GACGAACGCUGGCGGCGUGCUCAACACAUGCAAGCCGAACGGAAAGGCCCUGUUUUUGUGGUGUGCUCGAGUGGCGAACGCGUGAGUAACACGUGAGUAACCUGCCCUUGACUUUGGGAUAACUUCAGGAAACUGGGGCUAAUACCGGAUAGGAGCUCCCGCUGCAUGGUGGGGGUUGGAAAGUUUCGGCGGCUGGGGCUGGACUCGCGGGUUAUCAGCUUGUUGGUGGGGUAGUGGCUUACCAAGGCUUUGACGGGUAGCCGGCCGGAGAGGGUGACCGGCCACAUGGGGACUGAGAUACGGCCCAGACUCAUACGGGCGGCAGCAGUGGGGAUUAUUGCACAAGGGGCGGAUGCCUGAUGCAGCGACGACGCGUGCGGGAUGACGGCCUUCGGGUUGUAAACCGCUUACGCCUGUGACGAAGCGUGAGUGAAGGUAAUGGGUAGAGAAGCACCGGCUAACUACGUG